rnacentral:rRNA from 1 species
GACGGGACCCGCACAAGCGGUGGAUGAUGUGGAUUAAUUCGAUGCAACGCGAAAACCUUACCUACCCUUGACAUGUCCGGAAUCCCGAAGAGAUUUGGGAGUGCUCGCAAGAGAACCGGAACACAGGUGCUGCAUGGCUGUCGUCAGCUCGUGUCGUGAGAUGUUGGGUUAAGUCCCGCAACGAGCGCAACCCUUGUCAUUAGUUGCCAUCAUUUGGUUGGGCACUCUAAUGAGACUGCCGGUGACAAACCGGAGGAAGGUGGGGAUGACGUCAAGUCCUCAUGGCCCUUAUGGGUAGGGCUUCACACGUCAUACAAUGGUCGGUACAGAGGGUUGCCAACCCGCGAGGGGGAGCUAAUCCCACAAAGCCGAUCGUAGUCCGGAUCGCAGUCUGCAACUCGACUGCGUGAAGUCGGAGUCGCUAGUAAUCGCAGAUCAGCAACGCUGCGGUGAAUACGUUCCCGGGCCUU